rnacentral:rRNA from 1 species
UGCGGUUUAAUUGGACUCAACGCCGGAAAACUCACCGGGGGCGACAGCAAUAUGUAGGUCAAGCUAAAGACUUUACCAGAAUCGCUGAGAGGAGGUGCAUGGCCGUCGUCAGUUCGUACUGUGAAGCAUCCUGUUAAGUCAGGCAACGAGCGAGACCCGUGCCCACUGUUGCCAGCAUGUCCUUCGGGAUGAUGGGUACUCUGUGGGGACCGCCGAUGCUAAAUCGGAGGAAGGUGCGGGCUACGGUAGGUCAGUAUGCCCCGAAUCUCCCGGGCUACACGCGGGCUACAAUGACUGGGACAAUGGGCUCCUACCCCGAAAGGGGAUGGUAAUCUCAUGAACCCAGCCUUAGUUCGGAUCGAGGGCUGUAACCCGCCCUCGUGAAGCUGGAAUCCGUAGUAAUCGCGUUUCAACAUAGCGCGGUGAAUACGUCCCUGCUCCUU